UAUAAAAUGCCGGUAGUGAACGCGAAUGGCAGUGGAUCAUACAUACACAUUCAGACUUUGGGUGGGAAGAUCCAAAGUCAAGAGGGAAACAGCCCAGAGGUGAAGCUAAGGUACCUAAUAAAUA
rnacentral:rRNA from 1 species